UAUUCUCUUAUGUCUUUCUUUUGUUAAUAUUCUUUACUUUUUAUGAAUGUAUAGAUAUGUUGUUCAGGGAUAUUGCUGUUAAGAGUAAAGAUACUCAAGAUGAGCUCUUGUAUAGGAUUUCCCGGGAUGAUUAUGUGAUGUAUGUCGUUCAGGAGUGAUACUAUGCUGUAAAAUUCAUUUUGACAUCAAUACUAGUUGAUGUGGGAAGGAAGUGAUUGGGUUGUUUUGGGGCUGAUGUGCACAAUUGGGCUGAUUUCAGGAUUGGACCUUGAUCUUUUGAGGGUGCUUGAAUCUGAAAGUUGAGGUAACCUGUUUUAGAUGAUAUAGAAUACAGGGAAGUGUGUUUUGAAUAAUUGGGAUUGAUUUGGUUUCUGAAUUGAACCAUGCAAUUUAAUUACAUCUGCAUUAGAUGUCAAGGACCCCAAAACCUUUUUAGGAUGACUUACUGAAUACAUGGCUCAGUUUAGAAACUCAAAUGACAUCUAAUUGUAAAUCUAUGCUUGUCUUUUACUCUGUUUUGUUUCAGUUUUAUAGAUUCUUUCUUUCACUGCUUGUUUAAUUAGGUUUAGCAUUUAGGUUUAGUUGCAUCAUUUAGAUAUUGCAUUUAUACUCUUUAGGUUCUGUUAUUAGGUUGUAUAAUAAUGUUCAUUAGUUUAGGACCAUUUUAGUUGCAUUAAGUCAUCAUUUUGUUUAGGUUUCUUUAGCUUAGUAGAUAUUAUUUGAUUAUGUAUCCCUUUUAAUUUCAUUUCUUUUCCCCCACGGGGCCUUAGUAGAUAAUUAGUAAAUAAAUAGUAGGACUUUACUCUACAUUUUUAAAACUUAAAUUAGUCGAGUUUUUGGAUUGAUUGUUGUAAACCCUAAACUCCAUUAGUGGGGUUAGGUUUUGUUGACUUUUUGUGCGGCCAAAAACCUUUUAACAAAUGACACCGUUGUUGGGGACUUUGCGAAUUAGGUUUAGGAGUGUAGAGUUAUUCCUUGCAUUCAUAUAGCUUGUAUAGUUUUUAUUUUCUUUCAUAGGUUUUUGCUUGAGUUUUGUAAUUGAGGUCUUAGUGGUCCGAUUCGUGUUCUUCUACGUAUGAUAAUUGUUCCUUUUUAUAUAAUGCUCAACUCCAAGGUUUUAACUUGUUCUGUGAGUCUUUUAUUGAGUAUCCUUUGCAGCAACUACCACCAUAUUUUCAACCAAUUUGUGACCAGCCAUCCUGUCCUGUGCAGCAGCAGCUGCUACCUUCAUAUUGGGUUGGACCGGAGAGGGAGAAUUUUCAGUCAUUGCAGCUGUGGCAGGAUCAAUUUUGUGAUCAGUGGCAGCAGGAUUCCAACAUUAUUAUUAUUAUUAUUAUUAUUAUUAAUAUUACUAUUAGUAGUAUUA